GGGCCUCGCGGGGGGGCGGGCAGGAUGGGAAUCCCUCGAGUCCGCCUCGGGACGCAGCCCCACGACCACCUCCGCCUCGCCCCUCAGGUUCUCACUAUGUUGCCCAGGCUAGCCUUGAACUCUUGGACUCAAUGAUCCUCCCACCUCAGCCUACAGCUGCUACAGCUGGGACCAUCUCUCCUAGCCCAUUUCUUUGUGUAGGUCAGGAUGCUAUGCUAUCAUCUGCCCCUUCUUUGAGUCUCGCAUUUUGUGAGAGUCCCAAGCAUAUAUACCUAAUUAAAACUACUUUUCUCCUGUUAAUCUGAUUUAUGGCAAUUUAAUUUAUAGACCAGCCAAAGAACCUGGAAGAGUAGAGGGAAGCCAUUUUUUCCUCCCCUACAAUGAAUAGAGUGCCUAACGUCUCAGAUGCUUGGGAUACAAACUUAAACAUGAUUGGUGCUAGGAUAGGACUUACAUAACACAUUCAGCAGAAGCACAAAGAAAGGAGUGGUCAAUUCUAUCUGCAGUGGUAGAUAAGGAAAGUUAGUGAACCACCUGCCAGGUUUU